rnacentral:rRNA from 1 species
GCCAGGGAAUUACGAGCCCAAGCUUAAACCCAAGGACUUGACGGUGUCCCAUCCACCUAGAGGAGCCUGUUCUAUAAUCGAUUCUCCCCGAUCUACCUCACCGCCUCUUGCAUACCCAGCCUGUAUACCUCCGUCGUAAGCUUACCAUGUGAACGCGCUCAGUGGGCCUAAAGAUCCUACAUACACACGUCAGGUCAAGGUGCAGCCUACGAAGCGGAAAGAAAUGGGCUACAAUUUCUACACUAGAACAAACGGAAGACUACCUGAAAUAUAGUCAUUGAAGGCGGAUUUAGUAGUAAAAGGAAAAUAGAGUGUUCCUUUUAACUAGGCACUGGGACGCGUACACACCGCCCGUCACCCUCUUCACUCACCAAAAACUGUUACUGACACUACAUGACCACUCAGAAGAGGCAAGUCGUAACACGGUAAGUGUACUGGAAAGUGCACUUGGAACAACAAAAUGUAACUUAACAAAAGUAUCUUGCUUACACCAAGAACAUGUCCGUGAAACCCGAACCAUCUUGAGCUUAAAGCCCAGCCCCUUCACCCCCCCCAUGAAACAACUAAUCCCCCUCAACAACAAUAAAACAUUUUCUAACUUAAUAAAGGUGAUUAAAAAGUACAAAGGAG